CAAGUACCAUGAGGGAAAGAUGAAAAGGACUUUGAAAAGAGAGUUAAAAGUGCCUGAACUCGCUGAAAGGAAAGCGGAUGGAACCAGUCGUGCUUGGCGAGAUUGUUGCGUGCAAAGGUGACUGCUCACUGCUCGUAGCGUAAGCGCAGCAGCGGGUUUCGAUCUGGUCGCGCGCGAUGCUUCUUGCCUUGUUCGUCAUCGUUGGUUUGGAGGCGCGGACAACUCUUGGGACAUGGUAACUCGCCCACGGGCGAGCGAAUGUGCCUUGCAGAACUCACCUCCAAACUGAUGUCUCUUGUUAGGUUCUGUUGCCGUACGCGGCACGUUCUUGACAAAGCGUGGUGACAGAAUGGUUCUAUUCGACCCGUCUUGAAACACGGACCAAGGAGUCUAACACAUGUGCGAGUAGGCAGGUGGUAAAACCUGUUUGCGAAAUGAAGGUAAGUGCUAGGAAAUUUGCAACCAGCAACCGACUGAUUGUUUUGUAGAGGUUUGAGUGUGAGCACCUUUGUUAGGACCCGAAAGAUGGUGAACUAUGCCUGUGAAGGGUAAACUNAGGGGAAAACUCUGAUGGAAGGCUCGUUGCGAUACUGACGUGCAAAAU
rnacentral:rRNA from 1 species